GACGAACGCUGGCGGCGUGCCUAAUACAUGCAAGUCGAGCGGACCAAACAGGAGCUUGCUCUUGUUUGGUUAGCGGCGGACGGGUGAGUAACACGUGGGUAACCUGCCCGUAAGACCGGGAUAACUCCGGGAAACCGGAGCUAAUACCGGAUAACACCGAAGACCGCAUGGUCUUUGGUUGAAAGGCGGCUUCGGCUGCCACUUACGGAUGGGCCCGCGGCGCAUUAGCUAGUUGGUGAGGUAACGGCUCAUCAAGGCGACGAUGCGUAGCCGGCCUGAGAGGGUGACCGGCCACACUGGGACUGAGACACGGCCCAGACUCCUACGGGAGGCAGCAGUAGGGAAUCUUCCGCAAUGGACGAAAGUCUGACGGAGCGACGCCGCGUGAGCGAAGAAGGUCUUCGGAUCGUAAAGCUCUGUUGUUAGGGAAGAAGAAGCGCCGUUCGAACAGGGCGGCGCGGUGACGGUACCUAACGAGAAAGCCCCGGCUAACUACGUG
rnacentral:rRNA from 1 species